rnacentral:rRNA from 1 species
UACGGAGGGUGCAAGCGUUAUCCGGAUUCACUGGGUUUAAAGGGUGCGUAGGUGGGUUGAUAAGUCAGUGGUGAAAUCCCCGAGCUUAACUUGGGAACUGCCAUUGAUACUAUCAGUCUUGAAUACCGUGGAGGUCAGCGGAAUAUGUCAUGUAGCGGUGAAAUGCUUAGAUAUGACAUAGAACACCAAUUGCGAAGGCAGCUGGCUACACGAAUAUUGACACUCAGGCACGAAAGCGUGGGGAUCAAACAGG